UUUGGGAAGUCCUCGUGUUGCAUUCCC
rnacentral:rRNA from 5 species